AGUCUAUUCAGAGGAACCUGUUCUAUAAUUGAUAAUCCACGUUUUUAAUUACUUUUAUCAGGAAUUUACAUAUCGUCGUAGUUUGAAUAUUUUUAAAGAAUUUAAAUAUUCAAGAUUUUUGAAGAAAGGAAUUCAGAUCAAGGUGUAGUUUAUAUAAAAGAAGUAAUGGGUUACAUUAAAUUUAAUUUUUACGGGAGAAUUUUUUUAAAAAUUUUAUAAGUUGGAUUUGAAGGUAAUUUUAAAAAAAUAUUUAUAAUGAUUUAAGCUCUAAAAUAUGUACAUAUCGCCCGUCGCUUUCAUUACAAGGUGAAAUAAGUCGUAACAAAGUAGGUGUACCGGAAGGUGCCCCUAGAAGCU
rnacentral:rRNA from 1 species